rnacentral:lncRNA from 1 species
GGAGGGAGACAGACUUUUUUGAGGCUUGCACUUGUAGGCUGAUCUGAAGUGGACAUUUGAUCCCUUUCAGAAUUCUAGUCCUGCUGACCUUCUGCUCUGCUUUUGAGCCCCAAGUCCAAGGUGCAAGUGAGAAGCAGCGAAGAAGGUCUGGAGGUGGCUCCCUGACUUACCUUUUCAUCAGAAGAGGGGACAGUAGGACAGAACUCCUCAGGAUCUAGAAUCACAUAGGAUAAAAGGAUCUGGGCACAUCUGUGAAGACAUUUUUGGAUUGGGCUGAGAUAGGAAGACUCAUCCUGAAUGUGGUGGCACCAUUCCCUAGGCUGGAGUGUUGGACCGAAUCAAAAGGAGAAAGUAAGCUGCGUACCAGCAUUCAUCUUUACUAUUUCCUAACUGCAGAUGCAGAGCUCCCUCCAGCUCCUGUUACCAAGCCUUAUCUACAAUGGUGGAUGGACUCAAGUUAUGAACUCAAAUAAUCCCUUCCUUCUGUGAGCUGCUUUUGUUAGGUAUUACAGCAAUAAGAGAAGUAAUUUGUAUGAAAACUAGUUCACUUUUCUUGAUAAAAGAAAUUCCCAAACCCAAA